CGCCUCUUGGCCCCCCAUAAGAGGUCCUGCCUGCCCAGUGACACUUGUUUAACGGCCGCGGUACUCUAACCGUGCGAAGGUAGCGUAAUCACUUGUCUUUUAAAAGGAGACUUGUAUGAAAGGCAUAACGAGGGCCCAACUGUCUCCUUUUUCUAAUCAGUGAAACUAAUCUCCCCGUGAAGAAGCGGGGAUUCAUCUAUAAGACGAGAAGACCCUAUGGAGCUUUAAACUUUGUAGCACCUGCCUAUUUAUUCACUUUCCCGUAAAUUACCUUAACUCGCAUCUUGCUAAUAAGCUUUUGGUUGGGGCGACCACGGAGAACAAUAAAUCCUCCGCAAUGAACAGACACUGUCCUAAGUAAAAAGCUACUGCUUUAUACAUCAGUAACACUGACAUCCAUUGACCCAAGAUUUUGAUCAACGAACCAAGUUACCCUAGGGAUAACAGCGCUAUCCACUUCGAAAGUUCCUAUCGACAAGUGGGCUUACGACCUCGAUGUUGGAUCAGGGUAUCCCAGUGGUGCAGCCGCUACUUAAGGUUCGUUUGUUCAACGAUUAAAACCCU
rnacentral:rRNA from 1 species